ACAUUGUUAUGAGUGUGUUCGUGUGAGCGGGGACGACGGGUUGAGCUGCGUUCGAUUUCUAUUUAUAGUUCAGUUCAAUUUGUUGCUCCAGUUUUUUUUUGUUAAAAAUUAUGUUUGAUUCGCUUCUACAGAGUUUUUUUUUAUUUGGAUUUGUCCUUAUUACGAAAACGAUAGCCUGCUAGUUAAGUAUUACAACUUUUGUUCGGGUCAAGGAAAGAUGAAGCGAAAAGCGUUCGUGGAUUGCUCCAUAGUGAGUUCAGUUAAUAGAGUUCGACUGAUACCGGUUGCAUUGCCGACCGCUGGAUGCCGAUUCACCGUCUGCGAAGGAGUAGCCAAGAACACAUCGGCAAAGGAAAUUAUUUAACAAGGUGGAAUAACAACUGGCCAAAAAGUAUCAUCCGGACAAGAACAAGGUCGAUCCGAAUCCGAGCCGAAAGUUUCAGGAAGUUUCCGAAGCGUACAAGGUGCUGAGCUCCGAUGCCACUGAUGACACGAAACGAAACAAUCUGUGGCCGACGAUGUGCCAAGGAAGUAUUCCCUGCCAUUAUUGCAACCACAAAGGUUCGUCUGUAAAAGUAAAUUAUAACCCCCCAACCGGCCAUCUGAAAAAUCUAGCGGUGCCGUAUGGGCGAUGUCUUAAAAUCUACCUCUUUCACCUCCGCCUGGGCAAGAGUCUGGAUCUAUCGGAACCGCAAAGUGUUCGCUAAGAAUGCUUUCUUCUGUUGAUGCAUGGGUGAAGAAUGUAUGGCGAUAGGCGUAUUGUACGGCGCCUAAGGAUUUUAUCGCCCUGAAGGAUUAUUACGAAGCAGUCGUCAUUCAAUCCGAGUGAUUUGUGAUUCUCUACAGGAAUCACGUGCCUACAAGCAACGAACUUCUUCCAAAGAAGCGACCGGGUUGCAGCGCCUUCACGGAUGUUGCAAAAAACGAUCCUUCGUCGUGCCCGCAACGCCAACAUCAAUCAACGAGAUCUAUCGACACGCGCUCAUUUCGGAUUAGAACCGACCCAAGGUAACCCUAACAAAAGCAAAUUUAAUCAUAUCCGAAGCCAAACUGUUGGAAGCUAUCCAGGAAAAAAGUCGGAAACUUUACUUUCAAAAAAAGGGUUAAAAGGAAAAUUCGUUUCCAGGCCUGUACAUAGGGUUAGUACAUAUUAGUCGCUUACAAGUAAUUUAAGAAAUAUUCCUUUUGAUUAGAAUCUAAUAUCUGUGAAGAAAAGCAAUAAAUACCAAGAAUAACGCUUGAGUCUUGCGUCAAUGAUAA